CAGAUUCUAUUGUGGCUGAUUUUGGAAGAAGGACAGUUUGGCUUACUGCCAUAUUUCUCACUCAACCCUGCUUUGAAGGCAAAGAGCCAGACUUUGAGAGAAAUCUUGCUGAUCCACAGCAUACAAAGGCCUAAAGAUUGUUUCACAACUGCUGUUAGAAGAUAAAGUGAAAUAUUGAAAGAGCCAAGGAAAAUCUUGAGAUACUAAUAGGUGGAGCCAAUCAGUGACCAUAACUCUUCUGGUGUUCCAGACCAAACCAGGGAUACACUAAAGCAGAAAGAAUGGGUAAAAAGUAAAGCAGAACAUUGCUGAGCUUCUCUCUUUCUGUACUUUAGUUUCCUUAUCUUUAAAACGAAGAAUCCCUCAACCACAUUUUAUUAAGAUUUUCAAAUGGAGUGUAGCAGCAAAGAAAGGAGAGUUUCCCAGAGAUAUUCAAACAGAUUAAAGAAAUUUCAAGCAUUUGUGG